rnacentral:rRNA from 1 species
GAUGAACGCUGGCGGCGUGCUUAACACAUGCAAGUCGAACGGAAAGGCCCAAGCUUGCUUGGGUACUCGAGUGGCGAACGGGUGAGUAACACGUGGGUGAUCUGCCCUGCACUUCGGGAUAAGCCCGGGAAACUGGGGCUAAUACCGGAUAGGACGAUGGGUUGGAUGGCAUGGUGGAGAGAGUUUUCGGGGUGGGGUGAGCUCGCGGCGUAUAAGCGUGUUGGUGGGGGAAUGGCCUACAAAGGCGUCGACGGGUAGCCGGCCUGCGAGGGUGUACGGGCACAUUGUGGCUGAGAUACGGCCCAGACUCCUACGCGGGGCAGCGAUGGGGGAUAUUGCACAAUGGGCGCGGGCCUGAGGCAGCGACGCCGCGUGGGGGAUGACGGCCUUCUGGGUGUAAACUCCUCUCGCUAGGGACGAGGCGUUUUUGUGACGGUACCUGGAGAAGAAGCACCGGCUAACUACGUG